UCGAACAUAGGCUUCAAUUUGAAUAAGGUAUAAAAGUCGGUUAAGCAUGGGUGGUGCGGGUUCAUAUUUGUAAGUAUAUUCUAACCCGCAUCCGACCGUGUAAGUAUAUCUGUAAAAAUUAAGUCGCUGAUUUCAUUUGUAUUUAUCCCAAAGUCAAUCCAAGCGGUCCAUAUUGUGAAUGCAAUUGGUUUCACAUUUUGCAAGUAAGCUUCAGAUUGCAGGUAUCGAGCCUUGUGUCACACUGUCACCGAGAAAUUUGCAGUGCCAAUACUCCACACUAAGCUAAGUGUCUCUCUCCCUUUACACCUAACGUUAAUCCCCUCUGCACAUUCAUAAUUCAUACUCCUCUCAGGGUAGUGCCACGACUCUUCUUCUCAACUUGCUCUACGUGUUCAUUUCUUUCUUGCUUCUGUUGUCAUCGUUUAGCGCAUUAAGAAUUUGUGGUUGUCGGAAAGUUGAACUCGCGGUUUAGUUUGCCGGUGUCAUUUAGGCAGAGGAAUACCUCAGAGUCAAGGACAUAUAGCAACCCACCUGCAAUAUCCACCAAACCCGAAGCCAGCAGAAGCCCCACCAAUCCGAAAGUUUAGAUAGUUUCGAUUUUCUGUGACAUGUUUUGGGCCUGAACUCACCCUUAACGGUUAAAAUGGACGAAAAUGACAAAAAUAUUAGAUGAAAAAAAGUGUAGGAAUUUUAAUCAGUUGAAAAUUUUAAAGAUCAAAAUCAUAAAUGUCAAAAAAUUUUGAAAACUAAAAAUAUGAUUUACCCAAAAUUAUAUUUAUUUGAUUUGAUUAUUUGAUUGAGUGAAUUAAACAAUUUUUCCUUUUGAGGUUUGGACCAAUUACACUUAGUACCCCCUAUGUUUUAACAUUACUUUUAACCCCCUAUAUCAAACAGUGUUUAGCUUCUAUUAUAUUUUUGAAAAAAGAAAAAGAAGAUAAAUUUUAAAUUUGUGAUAAUCCAUAAUUGCCCAUCUCUCCUUCCUCCUGCUAGAAACUUGCCUUGCAUUGCCAUUAGAAUCAACAAAUCAAUUACUUAACUACACUAACAAUUUCAUAUUAAGCAACCAAUCCAAAACCUUUCUCCAUUCCAUUCCUUUUUUGUGUGUGUGUGUGUGUCUGUGUGUACUGUAAUCA
rnacentral:lncRNA from 1 species